GGCACACAACUUACAUGGAAGCAAUAUACUAAAUCAAUUAUAGACAAAAUAUGGAUUAAAAGAACACAGAUGUACUGGCUAACUAAUCAAAAUUCUAAACUAAGCAUAGAAAAUAAAUUAAAAAUAUACAAAACGAUACUGAGAACAAUAGUCAACGCCCCAUGGUAUGUCAGAAACGAGGAUAUACGCAAAGACCUAAAAAUACCAACGGUCAAAGAAGAAAUAGGCAGGUACGCAGAAAAAUACAAGGAAUGAACGGUAACACAUCCUAACCAGUUGGCUGCUAAAGCGAGCAAAAUUCGCAUAGAAAGAAGAAUAAAAAGAAAACACCGCACUGAUCUCACUAAAGAAAUAAAAUAGUCAAACUCGAAGAUAGUAUCUAGCUGGGGGUAGUCAUUCACAUGUUAUUUAGCAAUUAAGCUAGAAAAAUUUACCGAAUGUCCAGCUGAACAAAUUGUAAAGUACAAAUUAAAUAAUAAUAAUAAAAAAACAA